rnacentral:rRNA from 1 species
GGCUACGAGGACGAACGCUGGCGGCGUGCUUAACACAUGCAAGUCGAACGAAAAGACGGAAAGAGCUUGCNCUUUUCAGAAUUGAGUGGCAAACGGGUGAGUAACACGUAAACAACCUGCCUUCAGGAUGGGGACAACAGACGGAAACGACUGCUAAUACCGAAUAAGUUCCAAGAGCCGCAUGGCCCAUGGAAGAAAAGGUGGCCUCUACCUGUAAGCUAUCGCCUGAAGAGGGGUUUGCGUCUGAUUAGCUGGUUGGAGGGGUAACGGCCCACCAAGGCGACGAUCAGUAGCCGGUCUGAGAGGGUGAACGGCCACAUUGGGACUGAGACACGGCCCAAACUCCUACGGGAGGCAGCAGUGGGGAAUAUUGCACAAUGGGGGAAACCCUGAUGCAGCGACGCCGCGUGAGUGAAGAAGUAUUUCGGUAUGUAAAGCUCUAUCAGCAGGGAAGAAGAAAUGACGGUACCUGACUAAGAAGCCCCGGCUAACUACGUG